AUCCGGCUUUCCCUGGCCUUCCAGCAGCAGCUGACAGAAAAGACAGUGGGAAAUCCUUACCAGAGAAGGACCACAUCUUCCCCGACUCAGCUCCUUGUCCCUCUGCUCCAGAAGGGGCGGGUGGGGCGGGUGGAAGGAAUGGAUCCUGAUGUUAAGAGAACAGACACUACUUGAUGGGACUGUGGUUUGAGCUAAACACCCACCCCACCCCAUCCCUGGAGGAGCCACUCCUCCUUCCCAGGUCUGCUAGGGGUCCAGAUGAGAGAGGCUGAAUAACAGCGGCCCAAGGCAGAGGAACAACAAAGAAGACACCCUGUGUUCCAAGGACAAGUCACUUAGAGGUCAGCCAACUGGACUCAAGCCCCACAUACCCUGGAUGACGGUGAUGGAGACAGGAGCCCUGAGAGGAGCCAGGUUCUGACUGUGAAGGGUACACGUAUAUGUGGUAUCGGCUGCUGGGCAGCGCUCAACAGUCAGCACCAGGCAUUGGGAAUCCGAGAAGUUAUGCAGGGAGGCUGACGGUAGGAGAGAAGAGAAAAAUGAACCAUCACUGGCUGAAGCAGAUGGUUGUGAGCCACCAUGUGAUUGCUGGGAAUUGAACUCUGGACCUCUGGAAAAGCAGUCAAGUGCUCUUAACCACCCAGCCAUCUCUCCGGUGUCCCAGUUUCCUCUUUUUUAAAAAACAGGAUAUUAUUAAACUAACCUCAUGAGGUUUACCACAAGUGGGAGUGUGUGAUGGAAGGUUCCAUCAACAGAACAGGGAUUGCUCUGAGGGGUGAAAACACUGAACAUGGACAUCCAACUCCCAUCCUAAACUGGGCAUGCUGCCUGGAGGGGCCAAUCACAGACAGCUUUGACCGUCUCCUACCUUGGCUGCCCUGCCCAGGGCUCCAAGUGGCAGUGUAGGCCAAGUUUGUGAGCGGGAUGCAGCAGCUCAGUUGGAAUCCAGUGGAGGCAACACAGGAGAUGGACAGCUUGUCUGGAAGUCGAACCACUUCUUUCUCCUCCAAGGGUACCUGCACCACCUGAUGCAGCUCCCACCUGAAUCCCUGGGCCUCAAAGAUGCUCACGUACAAACCUGCAGAGACAGACCCACUCUCCCUGGUGGCUGGCCCAGGUCUGCCUUCGAGCCAGCUGGCUCUCCACUGUUUUCUGGGUCACAGCCCAGAUCCUCCAGCUUCUCUCCUCUGCUCAGCACCAGGAACUUACUCCCAGCUAGAAGGUCUCAGGAUGAAGAACAACCCCUCCCCAGGGAGAAAGAUCUGUGGAAGAAAUUCUUGGCCUGUUUAUCUUAGCCAGUGCUGACAGAACUCUAAGUGUCCUUGGAGGCCAGAAGAGGGCAUCAGAUCUGCUGGAAAUGGAGCUACAGAUGGUUGUGGGCUACCAUGUGUCUGCUGGGAAUUGAAUGCAGGUCCUCUGGAAGAACAAACAACCAGUGUUUUUAGACACUGAACCAUCUCUCCAGCCCUAUCAUGUUACUUUUAAAUGGUUUUCCACAAGUAAUUAAAAUAUGUUAAGUAUGACGUUUGUGUUUCUGAUGGAAUAGUAAAAGGCUUAUAUCGUUUGAUGGCAA